rfam:Haemonchus contortus, ISE/inbred ISE, WGS project CAVP01000000 data, contig: Hcontortus_44274
GGCCCAAACUUCAAGUGGAGUAGAUCAGAAGGAUCAUCUGACCCUACUGAACUACUCUACUUCUAGUUUGUGCUA